UACGGAGGGUGCGAGCGUUAAUCGGAAUUACUGGGCGUAAAGCGCACGCAGGCGGUUUGUUAAGCUAGAUGUGAAGGCCCCGGGCUCAACCUGGGAUGGUCAUUUAGAACUGGCAGACUAGAGUCUUGGAGAGGGGAGUGGAAUUCCAGGUGUAGCGGUGAAAUGCGUAGAUAUCUGGAGGAACAUCAGUGGCGAAGGCGACUCCCUGGCCAAAGACUGACGCUCAUGUGCGAAAGUGUGGGUAGCGAACAGG
rnacentral:rRNA from 1 species